rnacentral:lncRNA from 1 species
ACCCCAAGUUUGAUUUUUUUGGGGUUCCCUCACCCGCAGAGUGGCGCGAGGCCCAGGCCACGCACGAGGCCGAGCAGCGCCAGUGGCGCCUCCGGAACCACCUCAACCUCGCCGCCAAAGGUCCUCUCCGCCAAACUUUCGCUCAAAACCCCCUGAACCCCCCCAAAAUGGCGCCCUCAGAACCCCCAAAAAGGCCCUGGAAGGACACGCUGGGCUGAGGGGGGGAGGGGGUGACCCCCAAAAAAUAAAAAAAGCGCGAAAAUAAAACCCAGACUCAUUUAUUUUGGGGAAAAUUUGGGUGGGUUUGGGGUUUUUUGGCCGCUUGGGGAUGCCGUAGCAAGAUGGCGGCGCUGUGGUGAUUCCGUACAAAAUGGCGGCGCGGUGUGAGGAGAAAGGCGACUCACAAAAUGGCAGCCGCGCAUGCGCAGUAAUAAAGGAACGCGCCGUACAAUAUGGCCGCCGCGUAGAAAACGCCACCGACGCAUGCGCAGUAUUAAAAAAAAGAAACUUACUGUACAACAACGCGGCCGCGAGGUUUGCUGUAGAAAAUGGCGGCGUGCUCGGGUUUUGCCGUACAAAAUGGCGGCCGCGCAUGCGCAUUAAUAAAGGAACGCGCCGUACAAUAUGGCGGCCGCGUAGAAAAUGCCGCUUACGCAUGCGCAAUAAAAAAGGAACGCGCCGUACAAUACGGCGGCUGCAUGGUUUGUUGUAUAAAGAGCCACCUGCGCAUGCGCAGUAAUAAAGUAACUUACUGUACAACAAGGCAGCCGCGAGGUUUGCUGUAGAAAAUGGCGGCGUGCGCGGGUUGUGCCGUACAAAAUGGCGCCCGCGCAUGCGCAUUAUUAAAGGAACGCGCCGUACAAUAUGCCGGCUGCAUGGUUUGCUGUAGAAAGAGCAACCUGCGCAUGCGCAGUAAUAAAGAAACAUACUAUACAAGGCGGCUGCGAGGU